rnacentral:rRNA from 1 species
GAUGAACGCUGGCGGCAGGCUUAACACAUGCAAGUCGAGCGAGCGGCGGACGGGUGAGUAAGUUCUGGGAAAGUGGCUGAUGGAGGGGGAUAAAUAGUGGAAAAGUUAGCUAAUAACGCAUACCAGCAGAUGUGCCCAGAUGGGAUUAGCUAGUAGGUGGGGUAAUGGCUCACCUAGGCGACGAUCCCUAGCAGGUCUGAGAGGAUGACCAGCCACAUUGGAACUGAGACACGGCCCAGACUCCUACGGGAGGCAGCAGUAGGGAAUAUUCCACAAUGGGCGCAAGCCUGAUGCAGCCAUGCCGCGUGUGUGAAGAAGGCCUUCGGGUUGUAAAGCACUUUCAGCGAGGAGGCGUUACUCACAGAAAAAGCACCGACUAACUCCGUGCCAGCAGCCGCGGUAAUUC